AGAUUGAACGCUGGCGGCAUGCCUUACACAUGCAAGUCGAACGGCAGCACGGGAGCAAUCCUGGUGGCGAGUGGCGAACGGGUGAGUAAUAUAUCGGAACGUGCCCAGUCGUGGGGGAUAACGCAGCGAAGACUGUGCUAAUACCGCAUACGAUCUAUGGAUGAAGCGGGGAGUCGCAAGACCUCGCGCGAUUGGAGCGGCCGAUAUCAGAUUAGCUAGGUUGGUAGGGUAAAGACCUACCAAGGCGACG
rnacentral:rRNA from 1 species